GACGAACGCUGGCGGCGUGCUUAACACAUGCAAGUCGAACGGAAAGGCCCUGCUCUUGUGGGGUGCUCGAGUGGCGAACGGGUGAGUAACACGUGAGUAACCUGCCCUUGACUUUGGGAUAACUUCAGGAAACUGGGGCUAAUACCGGAUAGGAGCUCCUGCUGCAUGGUGGGGGUUGGAAAGUUUCGGCGGCUGGGGAUGGACUCGCGGCUUAUCAGCUUGUUUGGGGGGUAGUGGCUUACCAAGGCCUUGACGGGUAGCCGGCCUGAGAGGGUGACCGGCCACAUUGGGACUGCGAGACGGACCAGACUCGUACGGGGGGCAGCAGUGGGGAGUAUUGCACAAUGGGCGGAAGCCUGAUGCAGCAACGCCGCGUGCGGGAUGACGGCCUUCGGGUUGUAAACCGCUUUCGCCUGUGACGAAGCGUGAGUGACGGUACUGGAUGAAGAAGCACCGGCUAACUACGUG
rnacentral:rRNA from 1 species